rnacentral:rRNA from 1 species
CGGCGGACGGGUGAGUAAUGCCUAGGAAUCUGCCUGGUAGUGGGGGACAACGUUUCGAAAGGAACGCUAAUACCGCAUACGUCCUACGGGAGAAAGCAGGGGACCUUCGGGCCUUGCGCUAUCAGAUGAGCCUAGGUCGGAUUAGCUAGUUGGUGAGGUAAUGGCUCACCAAGGCGACGAUCCGUAACUGGUCUGAGAGGAUGAUCAGUCACACUGGAACUGAGACACGGUCCAGACUCCUACGGGAGGCAGCAGAA